UACGUAGGGGGCAAGCGUUGUCCGGAUUUAUUGGGCGUAAAAGGCUUGUAGGUGGCCACGCCAAGUCGGAUGUGAAAUCUCCCGGCUCAACUGGGAGGGGUCAUUCGAUACUGGCGGGCUCGAGGCCGGUAGGGGGAAGUGGAAUUCCCGGUGUAGUGGUGGAAUGCGUAGAUAUCGGGAGGAACACCAGUGGCGAAGGCGGCUUCCUGGACCGGUUCUGACACUGAGGAGCGAAAGCGUGGGGAGGCGAUCCGG
rnacentral:rRNA from 1 species